rnacentral:lncRNA from 1 species
UUUCUGGCUUUUUGUGAAUUGCCACUUAUGUUUUCCAAAACCGAUCUACCUUCACAUUUUUAAUGUUUGAAAAUGUGAAUUUGAAUAUAUUUUUGUUACAUGUAUUUGUCUUUCGAUCCAAAGCGAUCUUGCAAGUGAAGGUAUGGAAGAGGAAAUCGCAUUCACAGAGACCCUCAACCAACCUCAAAUACCUUAUUUUCCACAAGCAUCAUGUUAUGCCUUCACAAAUGGUAAAGAAGGGCGGCCACGAAAGCGAAAAAGGAAGAGUUUGUAUGAUCCGAUCCCGAUGUCAUACUCCGAGUUAUUGCCGCAACUUCUUCAAAGAUCAUUGCUGACUCCUAUCCCAUCAAAGAUGGUGGAACCUCCAUACCCACAAGGAUUCAACCCAAAUGUUAAUUGUGAAUAUCAUACUGGG